CGAGGCUACCGGGAAAACGCAUGGCGAACUUAGUGCUUAGAUAAUCAAUAUGGCGGCCGAGAUUUUCGGAGUCAGAGAAGACAGAAAGCGAGAGUCGAGGAAGGAGGAAGAAGACGAUGAAUCGUCAGAAAGUGAUUCAGAAGAAGGAACCCGUGUUGUGAAGGACGAAAAGACAACAUCUGAGCGUAAGCAUGAUCACAAGAAAAAGAAGAAAAAGCAUAAACACAAACACAAGAGUCAUAAGCACAAGCAUAAACACCACAAGAGAAGAGACAAGGAUCACGCUCCUGAAAACGGCGAACCUGCCGAGAAAAAGUCUAAAAUUGCAGACGAACUUUUGGAACUCGAGAAAAGGAAAGCGUUUUUACAGGAACAGCUGGCAGAAGCUUCUCGAAUUAAUGAGAAACAAUCAGCAGGAAAUCAUAGAAUUCCGGUGACUAAGACAGAUGAUGAAGGUAAAGACAAGCAUAGAGAUAGACAAAACCGGGAGGAUCAUGAACUUGACAGAAAGCAUAAGGUGAUUGAAGCGAGAGACUUUGAUGGCCAAGAAAAACAAAAGGGAAGACGGAAAAGCCCAAGAAGAGAAAGUGAUGGAAGAGAGGAUGGCAAGGAAAAUAGUAAGCCAAGCACUGAUUUUGUCAGAGAUGAAAAAUUGAACAAUCACUCACACAGUCACAGUUCUAGAAGACAUAGUGGUUCUUAUGAUAGCAAAACGGAAUCAAAAGCCAGGCAUGAUUCAAUUGUAAAAAGUAAUGAUGCUGAAAAGGAAAAAUCUGCUGCUCCAAGGAGAGAUUCAACAAAAACUGAUGCAAGCAGAAAAGACAGUGAAACAAAAUCAGGAUCACUCAGACAUCAUUCAAAAUCUAGAUCACCAAAAAGAAGUUCUGUGUCUGACAAGGAACAAAAAUCAAGAGAGAGACCAAGAAAGUCAGGUAGUAGGUCCCCAAGGAGAACUUUAUCCAAGGAAAGGAAAAGUAAACAGGAUUUAAGCAGAAGAAGUAGCAGAUCUCCUAGACGACAGAGAAGGUCAUCCUCUAAAUCACAAAGACACAGCAAGUCACCAAAGAGAAGAAGCAGAUCUCCAAGACGUCGCAGUCGCUCACCAAGGAGGAGGAGUAAAUCCCCUGGACGGCGCAGCAGGUCCCGGUCACCUCGGCGCAAAAGACGUGACAAUGAUAAAUUCAAGGGAAGUUACUCUGAGGGGCAAGGUCAUAAGGGGGAUUCAGAUCCAGAUGUUGACCUCUACAACUUUGAGAUGGAUGACAAGGAAGAAGAUGAAGAUGCAAUUAUUGAGAAAAGAAGGCUGCAGAGAUUAGCCAUCUUGAAAAAGUACCAAGGCAGUGGCAUUUCAUCAAAUGCUCCGUCCACUGCCAACUCAGUUGUGUCUCAGUCUCCACCUGGAGAGAGAUCAGACAGUGAAGACAGUGAUACUGUAGAAAAACAAGCCACUGAAGAUUUAGAACAGGAAAUAGCAUUGGCAAGUAGCAAAACAGAGAAGGAGCUGAGAGAUGUAAAGGACAACAUGGAGACAAAAGAAGAAAGUGAAACAAAAUCUGCUGUGGGGGACAUGUUUGCUGAUGAUGAUAUGUUCUCUGAUAAUUACAGUAGUCCUGCAAGGACUUUAAAGCUUGAGGCAGGAAAGGAAAAUCCUAACCUCACAGACAACUGGGAUGAUGCUGAGGGAUAUUACAGAAUUCGUAUCAGUGAAAUUCUUGACAAGCGCUACUGUGUUUAUGGUUACACUGGAGCAGGGGUGUUUGGAAAUGUUGUACGUGCAAGAGAUCAAGCAAGAGGAAACCAAGAAGUGGCAGUGAAAAUAGCCAGGAAUAAUGAGAUGAUGCACAAGACUGGCUUAAAGGAGCUUGAAUUUCUGAAGAAGCUGAAUGCAGCUGACCCAGAUGACAAGUAUCACUGUCUGCAAUUAUAUCGACAUUUCUUUCACAAGAAUCAUCUGUGUCUUGUAUUUGAAUCUCUGAGUAUGAACCUGAGAGAGGUUCUACGGAAAUAUGGUCAGAAUGUGGGACUUCACUACAAAGCUGUCCGUUCAUAUAGUCAGCAAUUAUUCCUAGCCCUGAAGCUUUUAAAGAAGACAGGUAUAAUCCAUGCAGACAUUAAACCUGAUAACAUUCUGGUGAAUGAAUCAAAACUGGUUGUAAAGCUCUGUGAUUUUGGAUCAGCUUCAUUUUCCUCUGAUUGUGAUAUAACUCCAUACCUUGUUAGUCGUUUUUAUCGAGCCCCAGAGAUAAUUAUAGGUGCAAAGUAUGACUACAGUAUAGACAUGUGGUCUGUAGCAACGACAUUAUUUGAGCUUUACACAGGAAAGAUUAUGUUCCCUGGGAAGACCAACAAUGAAAUGCUGAAGCUUAUGAUGGAUUACAAAGGGAAAAUGCCUAACAAGAUGAUUAGAAAAGGAUCACUCAGAGAUCAACACUUUGAUGAAAACUGCAACUUCCUUUAUCAUGAGGUGGACAAGGUCACUCAAAGGGAAAAGGUUACAGUGAUGGGAGCCAUCAACCCCAACAAAGAAGUGGUUGAGUCUCUACUGGGCUACAAAAAACUGAAUGAGGAACAUAAACGUAAAGUCAUGCAGCUAAAGGAUCUGCUCGACAAAUGCCUCAUGUUGGACCCAGUCAAAAGGAUAUCUCUCAAUCAGGCUCUCACACAUCCUUUCAUCACCGAAAAGUUUUUCUUACAGGAGGUACCUUAGUGCGAGUCGGCAACCAUUCCAAAGAGUAGAAAUACAUGUAAAUUGUACUGUAUUUCUCCAUUACUUAGGUUAUUUGGUGAAAUGGAUGAAACAGAUGUUACCAUCUGAAUCAGAGGUGGUAGCGGUCAGUCUCUUGUAACCAAAGGUACUGUGGAAAUUCUUUAAUUGUUCACAAUGAUAAAAUGUAGAUUCGACUUUGAUAACGGCGGAGAUAUUCGGGUACCGCCACAAGGUAUCCAUAGAAGCGAGACUCAGAAUAGCUAGACUCCGAACAGUCCCUGUUUUUCGGCGAAGUUUGCCGCCCGAAUAGAAAAAAGUCGGUGAAAAAAAAAUUGUUGUUAGCGCCUAAAGCGUAACAGACCUUACCGCCAAGGACUGCUCAUAAUCUACGGAAUAGCGGAAGGUGAUGAAAUUGACCCAUUGCUUAGUUUUAAAAUGUAGAGGUAUACUCCUUCAAGAUAGCUGUAGUCUAUUUUCACUCAUUUUUCGAGGACGUUUACCUUGAUUCAUACAUCAAUGUGAAAUAUAGGUCGAAGUAGCGGAAAAUCGUUAACAUUGUGGGACAACACAAAAAAGGUUUGUCCAUUAUCGAACUUCUCCGUCGUAAGGAGAGUAGAACGAUGCAAUUGGCAGUUUAGGUCGCAGUUUUUUUAUCGGUACCUGCUUCCACACUUUUCUUUGUAGAUUUGGCCGGGGAUUUAGCUACUGUUCUUAGUUAAGUAGGUUCGUAACGGCUGGGUGUCCUAAAAAUGUGUCUCGACAUGGCACACGAGGAGGCCUGAUGUUAUUGUGCUGGAGUCAACUGGACCGAGUGGUCUGGUAUAGAGCCCUUAACAGGGUCUCUGUAUUUUGUUCUUGGCCAAUCAACGUGUUACAGAAGCCGGGUUCUGCUCCGUGGGGUGUGCCUUUCUUUUUAGUUUUAUGUCAAUUGUUUUACUGUUCGUGUGUUAGUAUCAUCGAUAAUGACAACCGUAGAAUAUUACAUAUUUUCAGAAGAGUUUGUGAGUAUUUUAGUCUCGAACCGGUUAUUCUAGUCACUCACAUGCGUUUUCUUUUCCUAGGUAUGUUUUGACAGCUCUUCUUUAAACUGGCAUACAACCCCUGUAUUUGAUUCUUAGUUUUUGCAGAGACACUUACCCCCGAUACCUUAUUUGCGUUUCUUUCACGUUAGCAAAACAACGUUAGAGAUUUCGUCAGGGAAUCCUAUAUAGAGCUUCGCUCUCCUAAGAAAAACCUUAAGAGAACCAUGGCGAAACUCGUUGAAUUACUGAAUUUUACAAACGGUCAAGUGCCGCACCCUUUCGUUAAACUCUUCAGCGCCGUAUCAAAUUUGCCGUAGUAUGAAGCAUUGUCCAUGAGCCAGCUUUAGUGGUACCCUUAGUAACGUGAUAUGCACAGCUUUCAACGUAGGAACGACUUUCAUCAGAUUGGAAUUUCUGUUUUCAUUGACUUUUUGUUAUCUGCAUAUGCUUCAAUGGAUUAAAUCUACCGUGUUCAUCAAUAUUUUUACCCAGCAGAGUGAAGAAUUUUCCAUGUGUUAUUGAUCGUACGAUCGAAUAGUCUUGGACAUUGCGCGAGCUUUUAAUCCUUUAACCCCUAAGAGUAUCUAGCAUCCAAUUUCUUCCUACAGUAUCAGCCUUGAAUCAAACAUUAAGGCCAGGAGAAUAAGGGAAAUGAUCAACAACUGAAGUAGUUCUUGAUUGUUAAACAACCUCUCUCCUUGUCACCACCUUUGAAAAUGUACCGAGGCUAGUAUAGAGAAUAUGCAUACUGAUGUUAGGGUGAAAAGGGUUAGGAAUACGCACCUAAAGAAAAUCAUACGACUUGAAAGGACAUUUGACUUAACAGUGUCAGAGGAAGCUACUAAAGAUAGCAGAUCCACAAUUAAAAAAUUAAGUUUCCACUUAAGGGAUUUUUAUUUAAUUCAAAACUGCACAAAACUUAGCUGUCAAAUUAUGAUAAAGCACUAUGCACUUUUUUCAGUUUGAUAUAAAUAGGCUCAAGGAAUCCUAACUUACUUCUCAAAAAGAUCAAAGUGAUUACAGUUGUUACUACUAUUUCUAUUUUAGACUAGAUACUAUUUGCUGCUGUGAUUGGUUAAAUAAAUUGCAAUACACAA